AGACCUCAUAGAGAGACGUUUUCAUUUCAAUGGACUAAGCUUGCAGGCUAAGGUCUGUGGGCUCACAGAGGAGUCUUUCUGUAGGUGGCUAACAGAACGUGAUCGGAGAUGACUGAUGCCCUUAAGGUUUCACUUGACAAUGCUGGCUGAAGGUGAUUAAGAGUUUUAUUUUCUAAGGUGAUGUAAAGCUUGAUGAGUCAUAAGGACGCACUACCUCCAGGAGCUACAACUGAGAAGGUCCAUUCGCCUGAGUUCAAUGCGAGGCUGGCCCACGCCUGGCAGAGACACAGCCAAGGAAAGACACACGUGCCCUCUUCACUGAUCCUUGGCUCCGUGAGGAAGAAGACUCCUCAUCCAGGGGUGUCGUGCGGCUAGCAACAUUAGCAGAAGCUUCAGCUCAAGCUGACUUGAGUUCUAGCCUCAGCUCUUCCACAGUUUGUGCUGUCACAUGGUUACAAACUCACCUUGGUUUUCUCUGCUUCAAAAACAGAUUUCUUACCUCCCUUACUACAGUCAGAAAUCAUCACUCAAACUUGUUUUCUCAAACAUUCAGCAAAUCAAAGAAGUGAUGGCUUUCUCAGCCCCCAGGGACACUCAUUUCCUGAAUUUACUGUGGGUAUAUAAAUGACUCAGUCCAUUGUUGGCUUCUUGAGGACCCUCUCCCACUGGAUUUAAUUCAAGGCCUCCAGGACUGUACACCCAGACACUUUCUUCCCUUUUGGAGAUGGAAUCUACCUUUGUUAACUCCUGGAGAAUGUCAUGGUAACACAGCAGACCUCUAACACUGUCACCGGCCCGGCCAGCUUCCAAUCUUUCCGGCCUGGAGCCAUCUGCACGCUCCCGGGCUGCACGAGGCAGGAACACCAAGUCUCCUGGAGCAACCUGACCCCAGCACUAGACAGUGGCUUCGGAUGCAGGAGUGAGAUGCAGUAGGUCUGAGGAGGCGCAGCGGAUCCUCUUCCACACCGAGGGCUCUGGGAGAGGCUCCUCCUUGAUGGCAGGACUGAAGAAGGAUGUUCAAAGGCUCCCUUUCAACAUCACUGAUGAGAAAUCAUUAUUUCUGAAGUAGUUUCAUGCUACACCAGUGUCUCUUUGGAGAUCUACAUUUGACGAGAAAACAAAGGCACAAAAAGGAAACAACUUGCUCUCAGUGACCUGCUUUGGAUCCACAUAGCUCUGAAAACAUUUGGCCAUGUAUUUCUACUGCUGCACUUAAUGCACUAUUUUGCCGUUUGUUUCCAAGUCCUCUUCAAUACUGUGAGCUUCUGAAAGCAAGGACCUGUUCAUAUUUGUUCAGCUCUGCAUCCCAGUUACUUGGCAAUCCCAAGCUGAUGGAACCUCUUUUGUGCUUACCAGGCCAUGACAGAGACCCUCAACUGUGACCUGCCAAAUCACCGACUUUCUCAUGAGCCUGGAAGUGAACAUUCACUGAGUAGUCUAGGAUGUAAGUAAAUGAAGUACACUGGCCAUUUGCAGUCAUUCCUGGGAAAUCCCUCAUCUGAAUCUAGAGUCAAAAGAGGAACAUCAUUCCACAAGCACUCCAGAACCUCAACAAAAAUAAAAAACUAAAUCUCUAAAGGCAAAACAA